UACGUAGGGUGCAAGCGUUGUCCGGAAUUAUUGGGCGUAAAGAGCUCGUAGGCGGUCUGUCACGUCGGCUGUGAAAACCCGGGGCUCAACCCCGGGCCUGCAGUCGAUACGGGCAGACUAGAGUGCGGUAGGGGAGACUGGAAUUCCUGGUGUAGCGGUGAAAUGCGCAGAUAUCAGGAGGAACACCGGUGGCGAAGGCAGUGGGCUGGGCCGGCACUGACGCUGAGGAGCGAAAGCGUGGGGAGCGAACAGG
rnacentral:rRNA from 1 species